CCAAUAGCGUAUAUUAAAGUUGUUGCAGUUAAAAAGCUCGUAGUUGAAUUUCGGGAUCAAAUUGUCGGUCGUGCCUCGGUACGUACUGGCGUUAUUGGUUCCUCCCUUCUGAAGAACCGCGAUGUCAUUAAUUUGGUGUCGCGGGGAAUCAGGACUGUUACUUUGAAAAAAUUAGAGUGUUUAAAGCAGGCUCGCGCUUGAAUACAUUAGCAUGGAAUAAUGAAAUAGGACGUUUGAUUCUAUUUUGUUGGUUUCUAGGAUCGACGUAAUGAUUAAUAGGGAUAGUUGGGGGAAUUAGUAUUCAAUUGUCAGAGGUGAAAUUCUUGGAUUUAUUGAAGACUAACUACUGCGAAAGCAUUUGCCAAGGAUGUUUUCAUUAAUCAAGAACGAAAGUUAGGGGAUCGAAGACGAUCAGAUACCGUCGUAGUCUUAACCAUAAACUAUGCCGACUAGGGAUCGGAUGAUGUUAAUUUUUUAAUGACUCAUUCGGCGCCUUACG
rnacentral:rRNA from 1 species